rnacentral:rRNA from 3 species
UACGUAGGUGGCAAGCGUUGUCCGGAUUUAUUGGGUUUAAAGGGUGCGUAGGCGGUCUAUUAAGUCAGUGGUGAAAUACUCUAGCUCAACUAGAGGGGUGCCAUUGAUACUGAUGGACUUGAGUACAGAUGAGGUAGGCGGAAUUGACGGUGUAGCGGUGAAAUGCUUAGAUAUCGUCAAGAACACCUAUAGCGAAGGCAGCUUACUAGGCUGUAACUGACGCUGAGGCACGAAAGUGUGGGGAUCAAACAGG